GAGCAGGAAGCUCUACCCCUGAGCAAGCAGGUUUCAGGCUGGGGAGGGAAGACUACACAUAUGCAGCUAGAGACACGAGCUCCAGGGUACUGAGGGAUUGCCCUGACAAAGAAUGGGUCCUAUACUCAGGUGAUUUCAUGGUUCUGGAAAGGAUAUGACAGAGGAAGACCCCCUAAAGAACUUGAAAAUUUCAAGAGAAUCAAACAGGACAGGUGAAAGGGAAAAAAGUGGGACUUCCGCGCUCCAGGAGGAGGAAGAGCAGAUGCAGGGAUAGAGAAGACUUCCGACUAGGCUUUGGAACAAGAAGGAUGCAACAACCAUGUGAUCUCUAAAGUAUACUAGCCCUUCAUGUUUGUGAAUGGAAGAACUCUGGAUAAUUUUAUUUGUUUUGAGUGCUGCAUCCAAGAGAAACUGGAAACUGGUCUGAGCUGUAAAGAUUUGUCUCAACUGUAAUUCGAGAUAACUUUCCUUGUCUUCUCAACAGCUCAUUCAAGGUUAAAUGACCAUAGAGUCUAGGUAAUUUUGGCUACAUUCUCUGUUAGUAUCAAGAAUUUAUUAAAAUAUAGUAUCUAUUUUUCUAGUUAC
rnacentral:lncRNA from 1 species